AGCAACAGCUAAUUUCUAAACAUAAUUAUUAAUUUCAUGCUUAUCAUAUGCAAACCUCUGUCUCCCAGACGAGAUGAAAUUGAUUUAAUUAGAAAUUCCACCAUCAAGCCUUUUGGAUCCAAGCUUUUAAUUAGGAUCACCAACCCCACCCAAGGCUGCCAGAAAGUGGGCCCCUGGCCCCUGCUUCUCUUCCCAAGGCCCCAGGCAGAGCCAGGAUGUGUGGGCACCUCCAGUGUCACCAGAGCUCCACUGGCCAGGCCGGGGUCCCUCGCUGGGACCACUACCCAUGUCCCACCCCACACAGGGUGACACGGCCCCACAGUCACAAGUGGCCUCCUUCUCCUGGCAUCAUAAUGGGGAGACAGCUUGGAGACAACUCACAUCAUCUCAUAGCAGGAAGGACUGGGGUGUUUAAGGUGGGAAGGAGACAGGAGAAAUAACAGACCUCCCCUCCUCAUGCAAAAUUCGCAUGCCAGCUUCCCUUUGGGAGACCCUGCCAGCUCCAUGAAUCCAGGGACCUUUCCUUCAUUCCCCACAGGACGCCCGGCACAGAUUUGGCACAGGGCAGGUGCCCAAUAAGCAAAGGGGCCACUUCGUUCUUGCCACACAAGCAGCCUGAGGACACGCUCCAUGGGGUCGUAAGCACCUCAGACAAGGAGCCCGGGAAAAAAUGGGGCACGAUAAGGCACGGAGGCUGGAGAAGAACAGGGGGCGCAGAGUGGAGGGCCUCGGCCGGCUGACAAAGGAGCCGCUCGGAUGCAGACUCCAAGGAAUUACCGCCGAUAAGAGCACAGGCGGGGGAGCGCGCGGUGCAAGGGCGAGAGCAAACAAGAUCCUCAAUCAGCACUUGUCUUAUUUCAUAAGCAAAAUGUAGAUCAAUAAAUUACACUCACUUGUGCAGGUUUUA